UGCCCUGUGAUUUUUUUAACGGCCGCGGUAUCUUGACCGUGCGAAGGUAGCGUAAUCAACUGUCUUUUAAUAGAAGGCCCGCUGAAAGGCAUCACGAGAGUUUAUCUGUCUUUAUUCUCUAAUCAAUGAAAUUGAUUCUCUCGUGCAGAAGCGAGAAUAAUUGCAUAAGACGAGAAGACCCUAUGGAGCUUUAAACACUUAAGUUAUUUUAAACACCAAAAAUUUUCCUACCUCAGGGUAUAAAAAAUAAACUAAUCUUCUAACUUAACGUUUUUGGUUGGGGCGACCAAGGGGAAAAACAAAACCCCCUUAUCGAGUGGGUGAGAAGUCACUCAAAAUUAGAACUACAGUUCUAAUUAAUAGAAAAUCUAACGAAUAAUGACCCAGGAAAAUAUCCUGAUCAAUGAACCAAGUUACCCUAGGGAUAACAGCGCAAUCCUUUCUUAGAGUCCCCAUCACCGAAAGGGUUUACGACCUCGAUGUUGGAUCAGGACAUCCUAAU
rnacentral:rRNA from 1 species